AGACACCUUGCUUGAGUAAGUAGUGUCAGGACCCGGCCCCAUCCAAAAGCCUGCAGGCUCUAGCAUUGGGAUACCAGAGUCCAAACAAGCAUCAGGGUAGAAACAUAGCCCUAUGCAUCAACAGGCUACCUAAAGAUUUACUAAGUCCACACCCACCUCUAGGCACGCCCUUUGACAUGGCUGCCUACCAGAGGGAUAAGAACUGGCGCCACCCACCAGGGGGCAGGCACAGUCCCUCCUGCCAGGAACCCUGCACAAGUUCACAGGUCAGAACCUACCCUGGGACCAGCUGGUCUCUGGCCCUUGGGUGAUGAGAGGACUUAACAUCAGUGCCUAAUUUAUGCAGAAUAGAGCUGACAUCAUACUUCGUGGAAUUCAUUCCUGGAAACAAGACUGAGGCAGACCAAAGCAACAACAGGCAAAUGAGGAUGCAGAGAUACUGAACUUAUGAUUCUACUUGUUCCUUGCCUCUUGAUUUAGAAACCCUAUGAAAUAGCUUCUAGGAAAGUCAUCAGUGAUCAUGAGAAAUGAAAUUUACCAGAACAGUUCUAUCUCUCCUCUCUUCCCCUGAUCCUUCUCUGAGGUUCCUAGACCAUAAGUUAAUAAGAUACCAAAAUAAACCUGAAAA